rnacentral:rRNA from 1 species
UACAGAGGUGCCAAGCGUUGUUCGGAUUUAUUGGGCGUAAAGGGUGCGUAGGCGGUCACGCAAGUCGGAUGUGAAAUACCGGAGCCUAACUCCGGAACGGCAUUCGAAACUGCGCGGCUCGAGGUCUGGAGAGGUGACUGGAAUUCUCGGUGUAGCAGUGAAAUGCGUAGAUAUCGAGAGGAACACCAGAGGCGAAAGCGGGUCACUGGACAGAACCUGACGCUGAGGCACGAAAGCCAGGGGAGCAAACGGG